CUGGCGGCAUGCCUAACACAUGCAAGUCGAACGCUCCGCAAGGGGAGUGGCGAACGGGUGAGUAACGCGUGGGAAUCUACCCAGCAGUGGGGAAUAACCGCGGGAAACUGCGGCUAAUACCGCAUACGCCCUUAGGGGGAAAGAUUUAUCGCUGUUGGAGGAGCCCGCGUCGGAUUAGCUAGUUGGUGAGGUAAUGGCUCACCAAGGCGACGAUCCGUAGCUGGUCUGAGAGGAUGAUCAGCCACACUGGGACUUAGACACGGCCCAGACUCC
rnacentral:rRNA from 2 species